rnacentral:rRNA from 1 species
CCUACGGUUGGCAGCAGUGAGGAAUAUUGGUCAAUGGGCUUACGCCUGAACCAGCCAAGUCGCGUGAGGGAAGACUGCCCUAUGGGUUGUAAACCUCUUUUGUCAGGGAGCAAAGCCGGCUACGUGUAGCCGGACUGGGAGUACCUGAAGAAAAAGCAUCGGCUAACUCCGUGCCAGCAGCCGCGGUAAUAGGGAGGAGGCGAGCGUUAUCCGGAUUUAUUGGGUUAAAAGGGUGCGUAGGCGGAACGCUAAGUCAGCGGUAAAAUCGCGCGGCUCAACCGCGCCCCGCAGUUGAAACUGGAAGCCUUGAGUUCACAACAGGUAGGCGGAAUGCGUGGUGUAGCGGUGAAAUGCAUAGAUAUCACGAGGAACCCCGAUUGCGAAGGCAGCCUGCCGGGGUGCGACUGACGCUGAGGCUCGAAGGUGCGGGUAUCAAACAAGAUUAGAUACCCCAGUAGUC